UGGAAUGAUGUCCCAUCAUCAGACACGGUGUAUGUCCGAAGAAACCCCCCUAGGAAUAGGCGCCCACCUAAAAGACUGUCCUAUCAGCUGAGAGCCAUAGACUCUGAAUCAGCUCAGCAGAAGAUUGAUCGGGGCCGGGAGAUAUGGCUGAGAGCCAAAGCCAAGCUGAGGGGAGAGUAGCAAAGGUAGACAGUGAGGCAUCCAUUAAGUCAAUUACAUGUACUGAUUGACACUGUAACAAGCAUUUGCUUACACAUUUAACACCCCCCCCCCAUUCUCUGUUGUUCCUGGUUAUAUUUUGCAUACAUGUUAUGGGACUUUUGGUUGAUAUCUGAUGGCCGAGACGCCAUCAAACAAAGAGUGGGUAAAUGUAAGGAAGUGUUCUAUAUUGGCCAGCAGAUGGCGCCCUUGUUUUAUUUUGAGUGCUCCUUUUCUGUUUGGCUUGCCGUAACAUGGAGCCUUUUUGACCCUCCGCGGCCACCGGAGGUCAUAUUCUCUUUUGUUUUCCGAAAGGUAAGCCGAGUAUCAGAGCACUGUAACACUGACAUGUUGAUUUAAAUUAUAAAUAGGUUGG